CUAUAAUGCAGUCGAGCGAACAGACGAGGAGCUUGCUCCUUUGACGUUAGCGGCGGACGGGUGAGUAACACGUGGGUAACCUACCUAUAAGACUGGGAUAACUUCGGGAAACCGGAGCUAAUACCGGAUAAUAUUUCGAACCGCAUGGUUCGAUAGUGAAAGAUGGCUCUGCUAUCACUUAUAGAUGGACCUGCGCCGUAUUAGCUAGUUGGUAAGGUAACGGCUUACCAAGGCAACGAUACGUAGCCGACCUGAGAGGGUGAUCGGCCACACUGGAACUGAGACACGGUCCAGACUCCUACGGGAGGCAGCAGUAGGGAAUCUUCCGCAAUGGGCGAAAGCCUGACGGAGCAACGCCGCGUGAGUGAUGAAGGUCUUCGGAUCGUAAAACUCUGUUAUUAGGGAAGAACAAACGUGUAAGUAACUGUGCACGUCUUGACGGUACCUAAUCAGAAAGCCACGGCUAACUACGUGCCAGCAGCCGCGGUAAUACGUAGGUGGCAAGCGUUAUCCGGAAUUAUUGGGCGUAAAGCGCGCGUAGGCGGUUUUUUAAGUCUGAUGUGAAAGCCCACGGCUCAACCGUGGAGGGUCAUUGGAAACUGGAAAACUUGAGUGCAGAAGAGGAAAGUGGAAUUCCAUGUGUAGCGGUGAAAUGCGCAGAGAUAUGGAGGAACACCAGUGGCGAAGGCGACUUUCUGGUCUGUAACUGACGCUGAUGUGCGAAAGCGUGGGGAUCAAACAGGAUUAGAUACCCUGGUAGUCCACGCCGUAAACGAUGAGUGCUAAGU
rnacentral:rRNA from 1 species